rnacentral:rRNA from 1 species
GACGUAGGGGGCGAGCGUUGUCCGGAAUUACUGGGCGUAAAGAGCACGUAGGCGGGAACUUAAGUCAGGUGUGAAAGACCGGGGCUCAACUCCGGGUGUGCAUUUGAGACUGGGUUUCUUGAGGGCAGGAGAGGAAAGCAGAAUUCCUGGUGUAGCGGUGAAAUGCGUAGAAAUCAGGAGGAAUACCAGUGGCGAAGGCGGCUUUCUGGACUGACCCUGACGCUGAGGUGCGAAAGCGUGGGUAG